rnacentral:rRNA from 1 species
GGUGAGUAAUGUCUGGGAAACUGCCUGAUGGAGGGGGAUAACUACUGGAAACGGUAGCUAAUACCGCAUAACGUCGCAAGACCAAAGAGGGGGACCUUCGGGCCUCUUGCCAUCGGAUGUGCCCAGAUGGGAUUAGCUAGUAGGUGGGGUAACGGCUCACCUAGGCGACGAUCCCUAGCUGGUCUGAGAGGAUGACCAGCCACACUGGAACUGAGACACGGUCCAGACUCCUACGGGAGGCAGCAGUGGGGAAUAUUGCACAAUG